rnacentral:misc_RNA from 1 species
GAUGAAGAACGUAGUGAAAUGCGAUAAGUAAUGUGAAUUGCAGAAUUCAGUGAAUCAUCGAGUCUUUGAACGCACAUUGCGCCCCCUGGCAUUCCGGGGGGCAUGCCUGUCCGAGCGUCAUUGCUGCCCUUCAAGCCCGGCUUGUGUGUUGGGUCGUCGUCCCCCCCGGGGGACGGGCCCGAAAGGCAGCGGCGGCACCGCGUCCGGUCCUCGAGCGUAUGGGGCUUUGUCACCCGCUCGAUUAGGGCCGGCCGGGCGCCAGCCGGCGUCUCCAACCUUCUAUUUUACCAGGUUGACCUCGGAUCAGGUAGGGAUACCCGCUGAACUUAAGCAUAUCAAUAAGCGGAGGA